rnacentral:rRNA from 1 species
UAAUACGUAGGGUGCAAGCGUUGCCCGGAUUUAUUGGGCGUAAAGGGCGCGUAGGCGGCCGAGCAAGUCAUGCGUGAAAUCUCCCGGCUCAACUGGGAGGGGUCGUGUGAUACUGCUUGGCUCGAGCAAGGUAGGGGGCAGUGGAAUUCCCGGUGUAGUGGUGGAAUGCGUAGAUAUCGGGAGGAACACCAGUGGCGAAGGCGGCUGCCUGGACCUUUGCUGACGCUAAUGCGCGAAAGCGUGGGGAGCGAUCCGGAUUAGAUACCCGGGUAGUCCACGCUGUAAACGAUGAGUACUAGGUGUCGGGGGUAUCGACCCCCUCGGUGCCGGAGCUAACGCAUUAAGUACUCCGCCUGGGGACUACGGCCGCAAGGCUA